CUAGGCUGAAAAUACUAGACUCUGCUACACGUUUCGACAAGAGUGAAAUUGUGCUAAACGUGAAUGGAAAAAAAGUUUUCUCACAGACAAGAAAUGGAUGCCAGCACACGCUGCCCGACCUGCUGAGUUCCUCCGGCACUGUGUGUGUGAUGUAAUGCUCAGCUAUUUACCACCGUCCUCCAUCAGAAAUCUGAGGUGACUUAAGAACAGGAGCAGCCUCCUCUGCAUCACCAAGGCCAGUCUUCAAUCAAUUCAAUUCACUCCACAUUCUAUUAAGAAACAACUGUCUUCUGGCACUAUCCCAGAUCAACAAUAUCUGGAAUGAAUUCUGUCCCGCGGGGAAACUGGAGGCCAGUUAUUUUGUGACGAGUGACUCACCUUGCAAAUUUGAAAGACGUCCUGCCCUCUGAUCAAAUGCUGCCCAUAUGGCUGUGCCCUAAAGCAGCUGCAAUGACACGAGAUGCUCAAAAAUAUUCAAUGAUCCAGGAACAGCUUCUUCCCCUCCGCCAUCCUGAUUUCUGAAUGGGCAUUGAACCCAUGAACACUACCUCACUACUUCUUUAUUUCUACUUUUACACUACUUAUUUAUUCAGCUCUCGACCAAAAGAGGGUAACUACAUUCGUUCUAUUUCUUGUGUUCCCACAACUAAUGGUCUCACUUCAAGGACUUUAUCGAAUCAAGUUGAAUCAUCAUUCAAAUCAUACAUGGAUACAGUCCAACAAGAUGGCGUUUCCCUGGGGCCAAGGUGCAUAACAUGUAUUCAAAAUAGUGAGAGAGAGAAACUACACACUCAUCCUUAUGCAAGAAGACACAUGAAAAGUCCAAGAUCCUGAGCGACAUGCAAAUUGAUGGUACAGUUCCUGGCAGUUCAGCCUGUCAUUCCACUGGUUAAACACUGGAGGGCAGCACUGAUGGGAGAGGGCAGCUACCAAUCAAGCAUGGACUCCAUGCUACACUGCCCCCAGCGUCACUUCACCUGGAUUGCAGCAGUAGGCACACCCGCUUGAGGCCUCGUCCUCGCUACAACUGAGGCCACACUGCUGCCCCGUCACCAGUCUCACCGCCAGGCAAGGGAAGCAGGCCUGCAGCGUCUUGCAUCAUCAAUGUCCAACAGUGUCUCGCGAUCACAAGAGAAGCAUCCAAGUCACUCACUCACGGUUACGCUACCCGCUGCUUUCACGUACAAACUCCAACGUCUUCCAGUAACAGGCAACAACACGUUCCGCGCCCAGGUCAGCUCUUCUGAACCUUCUCCUGGCCGACUGCUGGCUUCUCCUUCUCCCAGCUGAGUGCUGGCAGCUCUGCACAACAAACAAACCGCUGAUGCGGUAGACCUGCUGUACCCAUUGUUCUUGGCGUCCAGUAUAGACUUACGAUCAUAAGAAACCUUCUUUAAAAAGAAUAGUGCACUUUUGGUUGGCCCCCCAAGAGGCCGCUGCGUUCCGGUGAGCUGCCAUCUUCCCAGAAGAGCCUUGUUAUUUCAUGCUCUCGUUAUUUAUUGCUAUUUAGUUAUAUUUGCAUUUGCACAGUUUGUUGUUCAUUGAUCCUGUUUACAGUUACUGUCCUAUAGAUUUGCUGAGUAUGCCUGCAGGAAAAAGAAUCUCGGGGUUAUAUGUGGUGACAUAUAUGUACUCUAAUAAAUUUUACUUUUAACUUACUGUGAUUAUAUACACUUACUGUAAUUCACUGAUUUUUCCUCUAUACUAUCAUGUAUUGCCUGACACUGCUGCCUCAAAGUUAACAAAUUCCACAACAUAUGAUGGUGAUUCUGACAAAUGGUUAGUGCCUUAAAAUACAUCACUCCUCCCACUGUUACCUCGAUUUAGAACAAGCACAUCGGUAGACCUAAAACUUGUCCCUAGAGCUGCACGGCAUCCCAAUUUGGAAAUACAUUUCCGUUCCAUCUUUGAGGUUAGGUUAAAAUCCAGGAACUCAGCACUGGCUGUUAGUGUGUCUUCACCAUCCGUACUUACAGUGAUUGAGAAGGUGGUUCUCCAAAGGCAGUUACCAAUUUGGCCUUGGUCCCUAUGGCUCUAGUGCAUGAAUGAAUAAAUUGAACAAUGUAAAUGGAUAUCCAACUACCACAACCUGUUUUCUUCUCCACUAUAAGCAGAUAGGUUAGGCCCUCUAGACCAACAGUUCUACUAGUAGUGAGCAAGUGAGAAGUUGUCAGGCCAUAUAUUUGAUCGAUGUUAAAUAGAAUUCACGAUCUGCAGCUUUUUUCCCUCAUGCAACAUUAUAACUAAACUUAUUUCACUGUUGAUGAUUAAAAUCAAAGCAAAAUUAAGCAAGGAAGAUAAAAAUUCUUGCCUAUAUUACUAUUCCCCCACCCCAUUAUUAGUUUACCUUCUAAAAAUUUGUUCCACGAGAAUUCUUCUACCUUCGGUCUUGAUGAUGGGUCGCAGCCUGAAACCUUGACUGCUCAUUCAUUUCCACUGAUGCUGCCUGACCUGCUGAGUUCCUCCAGCAUUUAGGGUGUUUUGCUUUGGGUUUCCAGCAUCUGCAGACUCUCUCACAUUUGUAAUUCUUCUACCGUAAACCAUUUUGGCUUUGCACGAGAGGUCGGCAGUAAUGCUGCGAUCAGUAAUGCUCAGUUCCGUUCUAUUUUUUGUCCUCUGAAUUCAUUUCAACUUUUGAUAACCAGUCUGCAGUAUUAUUAAGCAUAAGGCUGUCGUCUCUUAAAAAAAUCCAGGUGACAUACCACACCUUAUGUGCUGCAAUUUAGAUACGUGAUGACUAAAUUAUAUAAUAAUUUCAAAUGAUUAUUCAUUAAACUCAUGAAUAGAAAAAGCCCAGCUAUGUCUGUGAUAAUGAAGAGAUGGCUUUGCAGCUCGUCCUCUUACUGGCCCUAAUUUUUUGUUUAAACCUGUUCUAGUCUUUUCUCCAUGAAACAGUUACAAAAGGAGAUGAGUUUUACAGCUCUCGUUACACACACAUGCAGUUCAACUCUUUGAGUGAUUAUGCAGGAAGUUUGAAGUUAAUAAUUCAUCUCCUUCUACCUUAGGCCACGAACUUAUCAGUCACCCCAUGCUGUGGACCACUUUCUGGAGGUCCAAGACGCUGACUUCUACAAAGAAGGGAUCCACAUGCUCCACAACCGCUGGACUAAGUGUGUAAAUGUAGGAAAAAUAAAUGUGCUGUUUUCUAAAAUUGUCUCCUUCUACCUGAUGCCACGAACUUAUCACCCGUCAUGUUUUACUUUUUAUUUCUGUUUUUGCCCUACUUAUUUAAUUUAACUAUUUAUGUAGAUGUAUACUUACUGUAAUUUUUCUGUUCAUCUUGUAUUACAUUGUACUGCUGCUGUAAAGUUAACAAAUUUCAUGGCGUGCCAGUGAUAUUAAACCUGAUUCUGAAUAGAG